rnacentral:tRNA from 1 species
GGCGGCUUAGCUCAGUCGGUAGAGCGAUGGAAUCAUAAUCCACAGGUCGAGGGUUCGAGUCCCCCAGCCGCCACCA